rnacentral:rRNA from 1 species
UAUCGGCCCCACUGAAAUUGAGACACGGUCCAGACUCCUACGGAAGGCAGCAGUAGGGAAUCUUCCUCAAUGGGCGAAAGCCUGACGGAGCAACCCCGCGUGAGUGAUGAAGGUCUUCGGAUCGUAAAACUCUGUUGUUAGGGAAGACCAAGUUUGUUAGUACCUGAACAAGUCUUGACGGUACCUAACCAGAAAGCCACGGCUAACUACGUGCCAGCACCCGCGGUAAUACGUAGGUGGCAAGCGUUAUCCGGAAUUAUUGGGCGUAAAGCGCGCGUAGACGGUUUCUUAUGUCUGAUGUGAAAGCCCACGGCUCAACCGUGGAGGGUCAUUGGAAACUGGGAAACUUGAGUGCAGAAGAGGAGAGUGGAAUUCCAUGUGUAGCGGUGAAAUGCGCAGAGAUAUGGAGGAACACCAGUGGCGAAGGCGGCUCUCUGGUCUGUAACUGACGCUCAUGUGCGAAAGCGUGGGGAUCGCACAGGAUU